GACGAACGCUGACGGCGUGCCUAAUACAUGCAAGUAGGACGCAGUUGCGAACGGGUGAGUAACGCGUAGGUAACUGCCUAUUAGAGGGGGAUAACUAUUGGAAACGAUAGCUAAUACCGCAUACUAGUAGAUGGACCUGCCUUGUAUUAGCUAGUAGGUAGGGUAAUGGCCUACCUAGGCGACGAUACAUUGCCGGCCUGGGAGGGGGAGCGGGCACACUGGGACUGGGACCCGGCCCAGACUCCUACGGGAGGCAGCAGGAGGGAAUCUUCGGCAAUGGGGGGAACCCUGACCGAGCAACGCCGCUGGAGUGAAGAAGGUUUUCGGAUCGGAAAGCUCUGUUGUUAAGGAAGCGGUACUUAACCAGAAAGGGACGGCUAACUACGUGCCAGCAGCCGCGGUAAUUC
rnacentral:rRNA from 1 species